rnacentral:rRNA from 1 species
GCUCGAGUGGCGAACGGGUGAGUAACACGUGAGUAACCUGCCCUUGACUUUGGGAUAACUUCAGGAAACUGGGGCUAAUACCGGAUAGGAGCUCCUGCUGCAUGGUGGGGGUUGGAAAGUUUCGGCGGUUGGAGAUGGACUCGCGGCUUAUCAGCUUGUUGGUGGGGUAGUGGCUUACCAAGGCUUUGACGGGUAGCCGGCCUGAGAGGGUGACCGGCCACAUUGGGACUGAGAUACGGCCCAG